UCUUGAAAAAAUAUGAAGUAUUUCCUGCCCAGUGAAUAUAUUUUAACGGCCGCAGUACCCUGACUGUGCAAAGGUAGCACAAUAAUUUGCCUCCUAAUUAGAGGCUAGUAUCAACGGAUUAACGAAACUUAAACUAUCUAUUUCUUUAAAGAAAAACUAAUAUUUAGGUGAAAAAGCCUUAAUAUAAUUGAAAGACAAGAAGACCCUAUCGAGCUUUACUGAUAACUUAAUUUUUUUAAUCAACAGUUUAGUUGGGGCAACCGAAACUUAGACUAACACUUUCUUCCCGCCAAACUAAGACCUCAAGUCUAACAAAUGACCCAAAAGAUCACAGAACAUAGCUACCGUAGGGAUAACAGUCUAAUUUCUUUUAAGAGCCCAUAUUGACAAAGAAGUUUGGCACCUCGAUGUUGGCUUAGGGUCCCCCCAAGAGCAGCCCCUUGGAAAGGUGGGAUUGUUCAUCCCUUAAAANCCUANCGGGACCG
rnacentral:rRNA from 1 species